GUCGAGGUGGUGUAGUUGGUUAUCACGCAUGUCUCACACACAUGAGGUCCCCGGUUCGAACCCGGGCUUCGAUA